rnacentral:rRNA from 1 species
CAGCUGUAAACGAUGCAGACUAGGUGUUUGGACGGCCACGUGCCGUUCUAGUGCCGCAGGGAAGCUGUUAAGUCUGCCGCCUGGGGAGUACGAUCGCAAGAUUGAAACUUAAAGGAAUUGGCGGGGGAGCACCACAAGGGUGAAGCUUGCGGUUUAAUUGGAGUCAACGCCGGAAAUCUCACCGGGAGCGACAGCAGUGUGAUAGCCAGAUUAAAGGUCUUGCUAGACGAGCUGAGAGGAGGUGCAUGGCGUAGUCGUGU